UACGAAGGGUGCAAGCGUUACUCGGAAUUACUGGGCGUAAAGCGUGCGUAGGUGGUUUGUUAAGUCUGUUGUGAAGCCCCGGGCUCAACCUGGGAAUGGCAAUGGAUACUGGCAGGCUAGAGUGCGGUAGAGGGUAGUGGAAUUCCCGGUGUAGCGGUGAAAUGCGUAGAGAUCGGGAGGAACACCAGGUGGCGAAGGCGGCUACCUGGACCAGCACUGACACUGAGGCACG
rnacentral:rRNA from 1 species